GUCCACGCUGUAAACGAUGGAUGCUAGACGUGGUGGGUCUUGACCCCUGCCGUGUCGAAGUUAACACGAUAAGCAUCCCGCCUGGGGAGUACGGUCGCAAGACUAAAACUCAAAGGAAUUGACGGGGGCCCGCACAAGCAGUGGAUCAUGUGGUUUAAUUCGAAGCAACGCGAAGAACCUUACCUGGAUUUGACAUCCUUUGAAGAUGGUAGAGAUAUCAUCGGCUCGCAAGAGACAAAGAGACAGGUGCUGCAUGGCUGUCGU
rnacentral:rRNA from 1 species